UUGUAUUUUGUGAGAGCUUUUCAAAGGUGAUGUAUUCAACUCUUAAAAAUGUGUAAUAAGAAACAUUGAGUAGUUAUUUCUAAGUAUGAACUAAAAUUAGUGGAGAACAUUGAAUUCCAGCCAACAUGACAUGUGCCUCACACCUCCUGUUCCCAUGCAGGAACCUGGCUCAGAAGAAGAAUUUCACUCCUUGGGAUUUUGAAGAAUGACCACCAUUGAUUUGAGUGUGCAGGAAUGUGUCCAUUGGCACUGUCUGCCUCUUGAGCCUCUUCCAGAUGAUCAUCAUCAGUCCCAGGGAUUCCAGGUUGUUCAGAGAUGGAAAGAGUAAAACAUGGCCUCCCUUCCUGUACCUCCAGAAGG